rnacentral:tRNA from 1 species
GGAGAGGUGGCUGAGUGGUUGAAGGCACCGGUUUCGAAAACCGGCAUGGGGGAAACUCCAUCGAGGGUUCGAAUCCCUCCCUCUCCG